rnacentral:misc_RNA from 1 species
GAUGAAGAACGUAGCGAAAUGCGAUACUUGGUGUGAAUUGCAGAAUCCCGUGAACCAUCGAGUCUUUGAACGCAAGUUGCGCCCGAAGCCAUUAGGCCGAGGGCACGCCUGCCUGGGCGUCACACGUCGUUGCCCCCCCCCAUCUACUCCUUCGGGAUUGCGGGGGGCGGAUGAUGGCCUCCCGUGCGCCUCGCCGCGCGGUUGGCAUAAAUGCCAAGUCCUCGGCGACGCACGCCACGACAAUCGGUGGUUGCGAAACCUCGGUUGCCCGUCGUGUGCGGUCGUCGCGCAUCGAGGGCUCGAAAAAAUUGCCGAGUUCCGGCUCGGCUUUAAACGCGACCCCAGGUCAGGCGGGGUUACCCGCUGAAUUUAAGCAUAUCAAUAAGCGGAGGA